rnacentral:misc_RNA from 1 species
GUACCACUUCUUACCCUUGACGAGACCUUCCUGAAGGAAUGAGCGGCCCACCGUCUUCACAUACAUCGAGUUCUGCGACUCGACAUGGAACAUGUAGCGCUGGCAAUCCUUGCCGCGCAGCGCAUCCGAGUUGCCGCCGGUGUUGAUGAACAGCGUCUUGUUGCGCGAUGCGACCUGCGCGAUGGUGAGGCACGACGCCGACGAAAUCUCGCCGAUGAUGCAGGCGACCUUGUCGCGCUCGAUCAUGCGCUCCGCCUUGG